GUCCUUUCCUCCUCCUCCUUCCCAAUGUUUCAGUCUGAACUUGGGGAAGGAUGUGGCCUGUCUUCAGGCUGAGCUCAGCACACUGUAACCCAUCAGAUCUCCCUGCAGCCAGGCAUGUCUGCUCCCUGCCAAGCCACAGUUAGGAAGGGACCAUGGCAGCUGUGAUCCUGCUCGGCCUUUGCCUGGCAGACAGCAGUUCAACCACUGUCCUCAAGACAUGGGACAAAGCUGCAAAAGGCAGCUACUGGGAGUUGAUGUUCCUUGUCCCCUGACAACCUAUGAGCCCCCUGCCUAGGGAACUUACCCCCACCACUGCCACUUCCCAAUGACCCUGAUGCGCAGUGUAUCUCCUUGAAUCCUGCCUCUGAAGGGACCAGCUUUAUUUGCUUCUAAACCACCAUGAAGUUUUCCUUGGGACUAGCCCUGGAGCCUUCCAGGUACAACCUGUAGCAUCUACCUGAGGAUGGCUGGAGCCUGGCCAGGUUCAUGGAACCUACCGUGUGAGCGCUGGAGGACCCGCUGCACAGGACCUGCACUUCUGUGUCCAAAGACUAGAGGAAACUCCAGCUCAUAGUUUAGGUGAAUUCCAGCUGUUUCUGCCACUGGAGGGACAAUCUUCUCUAAGCCUGGGAGACCCAUCCCCGGGCCUCUCAGCAACAUGGGUGGAUCCUGUCUCUUGGGUGCUCCCUUCUCCCCUGUGCCCCAUGGCUUCCCCGCUGAGACAGAGGGGGAUGUCUGGGGAGUUGGGUAGGAACCACAGCCUGGCCAGACUGGGUGGGCAUGGCCACUGCAUGGAGGCGGAGAAUGGCUUUGGGUGCACCUGUGGGUGUUGGGUGCCUUGAAUUCACGACACCGUGCUUUUACUCAGAAGCACGGCUCCCUGGGUGAUACAGGUCCUGGGAGUCAGGAAGCCUUCAACUUCAUCCUGCGAGUCCUGGGCGGUGACUCCCCUGGCUGGCCAAGCCAACUGCAGCUUUAGCUUUGGGGGUCCAUUUACACUUUUCUCCACGUGGAAACCUGCCAGGGCACCCUGCAGCUGGGGAUGGAGGUUGCGGUGCUGGUGUGAGUAGCCAGACCCACCAAGGCCACCAGCACCUGGCAGUCACAGGACAGGCACGAACCGGAGAGUUCCAUAUGCUCAUGCACUGCCCCAGCUUGGGGGGCUGAGAUUCGGUAUUUCCAACCAGGUCCAGAUGCCGCCUGUGUUUCCGGCUUGCCCAGGGCCUGACUUGAGGAGUGAGAUUUCCGGCUGGUCUGCUCUCUAACAUCCUGUUUCAACACCACCCCGUGGCUUCCUAGGUUCUGUCCUCGUGAGUGUAGCCCAUGGCCCCAAGAUCACACUACUGCCCCCGACAUAGACGCCAGGACACUUCCUGUGACAAAAUCACAGUGACCAGAUGCAUGUAUCCUGAAUGCAGGGUCAUGUGUGUGACUCCAAAUGCCAUCCCAGAUAGCUAAGGCCAGAAAGCCUGGAUCAUCCCAGAUAGCUAAGGCCGGGAAGCCUGGAUGAGGAUAUUGCCGGCCCUGGAGGGGGAAUGAGAACCUGGGUGUGGUGACAGACUCAAGUUUGGAGGAAGGGGAUUUCUAGAAGGCAGGUGCAGAAGAGGGCCCUUAUGUCUGCGGAGAGGUUGGCAAGGCUGGUAGGAGGGUAGGCUGCAUACGCGCAGACGUUUGGCUGGGUCUUUCUGGUGAGCAGAAAAGACUUAAAUAAAAUACUAGUUUCCUUUCCUUCUCAGCAAUUUACAGGUGGGGAAAAAAAUUCUAAUUCAAAAGCAGAGGAUGUGGCCCUUGAGGAAGACCGCGCGCCCCCUGCAGGCCCCAGCUGGCACCGCAGGCAGAUUGGUUGAGAGUAAAUCUUGCCUUGAUGCCCAGCCAACUGUUUGUGACCUGGGCAGGUGCCGGGGAAAACAGGCCAGGGCUGUGAUCCCCGGAAAUGAGUGCAGGAUGAACAGACCAGAGCCUGAGUGGGGUGCAGCGGGGAGCGGAGCAAAUGAAUACAGCCAAGUGCUUGGAAGCUGGCUGAGCGGUGACCCAGACUGGCCCGAGGAAGAAAUAGUUGUAGAGGACAGAAAUCUUCAACAGCACUGUGUAAAAAGCGACUAGCAAGUGGAGGCCGGGAGAUUUGGUUUUUAUUCGCAGGUUUGAUUCCAAGACCCUGGAACCUCGUUAGAAGGGACCGGCUCCUGUUGUUCUGUCAACUCCCUUGGCGGUGAAGGUGGCUGGACAUUCUCCCUGGAUACAUCGCAACCAUCUGAAAGCAGGACCCCCCUGCGGAUGUCAAAAAGGACAAAUGGAAGGUUAUCAGCCAACCAGGCGACCAAAAGCUAAGAUUGGAGCGGGUUGGAGAUGUUUCGCCUUCAUGAUAAUAUUGUCUGGGACACUGGCAGUAUUGUCCCCAAGAGGACUAGAUCACACACACACACACAAAAAUGUAUGGAUUCAAUUGGCAAACUCGCUUAAUUUGUCUGAAUUCUAUCUAAAUGUUGAUGUAAAUUUCCAUCAUGUGUUGGGGAUGUGCCCCAUGUUGUAAACCUAAAAAUGCUGUCAAAUUAUAUACACCCAAGGUAAUUAUGUCAAAUAAUACCCAAUGUCUGAGGAUAAAACG
rnacentral:lncRNA from 1 species